rnacentral:rRNA from 1 species
CCUACGGGUGGCAGCAGUGAGGAAUAUUGGUCAAUGGGCGUAAGCCUGAACCAGCCAAGUCGCGUGAGGGAUGAAGGUUCUAUGGAUCGUAAACCUCUUUUAUAAGGGAAUAAAGGGUGGGACGUGUCCUGUUUUGUAUGUACCUUAUGAAUAAGGAUCGGCUCACUCCGUGCCAGCAGCCGCGGUAAUACGGAGGAUCCGAGCGUUAUCCGGAUUUAUUGGGUUUAAAGGGUGCGUAGGCGGCCUUUUAAGUCAGCGGUGAAAGUCUGUGGCUCAACCAUAGAAUUGCCGUUGAAACUGGGAGGCUUGAGUAUGUUUGAGGCAGGCGGAAUUCGUGGUGUAGCGGUGAAAUGCUUAGAUAUCACGCAGAACCCCGAUUGCGAAGGCAGCCUGCCAAGCCAUGACUGACGCUGAUGCGCGAAAGCGUGGGGAUCAAACAGGAUUAGAUACCCCUGUAGUC